UCGAUAGUACAAUCGGUAUCACAUCAGAUCGGACAUCUGUAGAUGCAGGUUCGAAUCCUGUUUGA
rnacentral:tRNA from 1 species